rnacentral:rRNA from 1 species
GAUGAACGCUGGCGGCGUGCCUAAUACAUGCAAGUCGAGCGAGAAUCUCUUCAGAAGCGUUUUCGGACAAAUCCGAGGAGAGGAAAGCGGCAGACGGGUGAGUAACGCGUAGGCAACCUGCCCUUAGCAGAGGGAUAGCCAUUGGAAACGAUGAUUAGAACCUCAUAAUGCCAUCUUUACACAUGUUUAGCUGGCCAAAGAUUUAUCGGCUAAGGAUGGGCCUGCGUCUGAUUAACUAGUUGGUGAGGUAACGGCCCACCAAGGUGACGAUCAGUAGCCGACCUGAGAGGGUGAUCGGCCACAUUGGAACUGAGACACGGUCCAAACUUCUACGGAAGGCAGCAGUAAGGAAUCUUGCACAAUGGGGGAAACCCUGAUGCAGCAACGCCGCGUGAACGAUGAAGGCCCUAGGGUUGUAAAGUUCUGAUCUGUGGGAAGAAGAAAGUGACGGUACCACAGGAGAAAGCCCCGGCUAACUACGUGCCAGCAGCCGCCGUAAAAC